rnacentral:rRNA from 1 species
UACGUAGGGAGCAAGCGUUGUUCGGAUUUACUGGGCGUAAAGGGCGCGUAGGCGGCAAAUUAAAGUCAGCUGUGAAAUCUCCGAGCUUAACUCGGAACUGUCAGCUGAUACUGAUCUGCUAGAGUGCGGAAGGGGCAAUCGGAAUUCUUGGUGUAGCGGUGAAAUGCGUAGAUAUCAAGAGGAACACCUGAGGUGAAGACGGGUUGCUGGGCCGACACUGACGCUGAGUGCGCGAAAGCCAGGGGAGCAAACGGG